rnacentral:tRNA from 6 species
GCCCACGUAAUUCAACUGGAUAGAAUAUCCGACUUCUAAUCGGGCUGUUGGGGGUUCGAGUCCUCCCGUGGGCGCCA